rnacentral:lncRNA from 1 species
GUUGGGCAGCGUUAGGUGAAGACGCAGCGAUGUGCGGGGCAGUAGCAAGGUCGAACAUUUAUUAGGCGUGGACGCAAAUAUAUCUUAUGAGAUUCGGGUAAGCCCUAAUUGCCGAAGACUAACAAGCACUCGGAGAUAUUUUUAAGACCACCGGCAUACUGCACAACAUGCGCCUGCAAGCUACCGAGCCCUUGGGUCGACAUUCAGGAGCCUUGCGCCUAUCAAUGCAUCUGUUAUAUUAAGGCUAAUUAAAUACAUUUUCUGUGGUUUUUCAUUGCGGUAUGAAAUAAUGAUGAUGAUAAAAAUAGUAGUAAUAAGUGGUGUAUGAUGAUAUAAUUAUUAGUAUGGUUUCCGUUUGGGCAAUUUCAAAUUCAAUGUGCUUGAUAUGAUUAAUAAAUAUUGCCUUAAGGAUUGGCGAUUUUCUGCGAUAACUGAAGAUAUAUGAAAUUAAAAUGGUUUAAAUGCUUUGAUAGUUUUUAAAGCUUUGUAAACAUGCAUACUACUUGGUAAAUGAUAGUAUUUGAGAAUUUAUAAUUAAAAGCCCGAUAAAGUAUAUCUAAAGAUCUUCUUCAAACCCACAAUUGUCAUAUGUAUAAAUCUACAUUCCAGCUUUUUGAAAUGUUGCUUCCAUCAUACAUUUUGUUCUAUAACAUGGUCGUUUUAUUAUAGCUUGGAAAUAAUUCUUUCAUUUUCCAAGAUAUCAUUUUCUUCAUUUUUCUUGAUGCAGCUCAGGUCCAUUUUUGACGGUUUGUGAUUUAUGCCACUGCAAAUUGAUCUAUAUUUGAUGACCCAAAUGAUCGUAUAAAUCUUGGACGAAUAAAACGUCUGAUCUUUUUCGUCAAGUAUAAAGACUUUUAAAAUCUGAACAAAAAGCUGAGAAAGUAGAAAGAUUCUGACGCAACUUUAAACGCGUUGUAACUUAAAACAUUUGAAAUUUGCCUUAAAAAAAUUAGACUUGCACAUUAUGAAGGUAUAAUAUUGAUCACCUUUUAAAUAUAGACACUGAAAGUGAAUAUAUUCCGAUCACCUGUGUUUGUUAAAGUUGCCGCUGUCCGACGCAUUUGCUUACACCAUAACUGCCGUACAGUAUAUAUGUACCUAACUGUUUCUUUUUGGGGAAAAGGCAGUUUGAAUUUUAAAAAUCAACACGAAUGGAUAUUUUCACGAAAGUUAUUGGCACGUUGUGAUAUUUAACAAUCCAGUUGGUGGACUUUUUUUCAAAGCUAUAUAUUGUUAUCUGUGGGGGUGGUCGGCAAUUUGAUCAAAAUUGACGUCAUUUUGUUUUUGUUAUUAGAAGUAACCUUUUCUAAUUUUGUGACUCAUUUGAUUAUUUUUCUUUCUAGUUAGCAAUGUGCAUUCCUUCUCACCAGACCAUUUUUGAUUAAAUAAUAUGGCCAUUGUUUAGGGGGGUCCUUUCCAACUUUACAUAUACCUGUAAGUUAUGUCAUUGCUUACUCCUACUGGAUGAUGUCCAAUUAAAACUCGGAAGAUAUUCUGGUACAGUACUGCAAUAUGUAUCGAAGGUUGGUCAGAAAAGCACAAAAAAUGUAUAUGAUGAAAAAUGUUUACUUCCUUUAUAACUGUUGUUGAGGUGAAAAUAACUCUUUUGUUAAGCAUAUAUAUUGCCAUGUAUCUUUCCGAGAUAAAGUCGAGAUGUUUUUUAUUCUUUGUUUAAUGAAUUACACAUAG